rnacentral:rRNA from 1 species
CCUACGGGAGGCAGCAGUGAGGAAUAUUGGUCAAUGGGCUCGAGUCUGAACCAGCCAAGUAGCGUGAAGGAUGACUGCCCUACGGGUUGUAAACUUCUUUUAUAAAGGAAUAAAGUGAGGCACGUGUGCCUUUUUGUAUGUACUUUAUGAAUAAGGAUCGGCUAACGCCGUGCCAGCAGCCGCGGUAAUACGGAGGAUCCGAGCGUUAUCCGGAUUUAUUGGGGUUAAAGGGAGCGUAGAUGGGUUGUUAAGUCAGUUGUGAAAGUUUGCGGCUCAACCGUAAAAUUGCAAUUGAUACUGGCAGCCUUGAGUACAGUUGAGGUAGGCGGAAUUCGUGGUGUAGCGGUGAAAUGCUUAGAUAUCACGAAGAACUCCGAUUGCGAAGGCAGCCUACUAAACUGCAACUGACAUUGAUGCUCGAAAGUGUGGGUAUCAAACAGGAUUAGAUACCCCAGUAGUC